GCUGGGUGGCUCAGUCGGUUGAGUGUCUGACUUCAGCUCAGGUGAUGAUCUCUCAGUCUGUGGGUUCAAGCCCCACACCGGGCU
rnacentral:tRNA from 1 species